GAUGAAGAACGUAGCGAAAUGCGAUACGUAGUGUGAAUUGCAGAAUUCAGUGAAUCAUCGAAUCUUUGAACGCACAUUGCACCUCUCGGUAUUCCGGGAGGUAUGCCUGUUCGAGCGUCAUUUGUACCCUCAAGCUCUGCUUGGUGUUGGGUGUUUGUUCCGCCUCUGUGUGUGAACUCGCCUCAAAACAAUUGGCAGCCGGCGUACUUGUUUCGGAGCGCAGCACAUUUUGCGAUCCAGAUCAACGUACAGCGGCAUCCAAGAAGCCUUAUUUAACGCUCUUGACCUCGGAUCAGGUAGGGAUACCCGCUGAACUUAAGCAUAUCAAAAAGCGGAGGA
rnacentral:misc_RNA from 1 species